GAUGAACGCUGGCGGCGUGCCUAAUACAUGCAAGUCGAGCGAACGGACGAGAAGCUUGCUUCUCUGAUGUUAGCGGCGGACGGGUGAGUAACACGUGGAUAACCUACCUAUAAGACUGGGAUAACUUCGGGAAACCGGAGCUAAUACCGGAUAAUAUUUUGAACCGCAUGGUUCAAAAGUGAAAGACGGUCUUGCUGUCACUUAUAGAUGGAUCCGCGCUGCAUUAGCUAGUUGGUAAGGUAACGGCUUACCAAGGCAACGAUGCAUAGCCGACCUGAGAGAGUGAUCGGCCACACUGGAACUGAGACACGGUCCAGACUCCUACGGGAGGCAGCAGUAGGGAAUCUUCCGCAGUGGGCGAAAGCCUGACGGAGCAACGCCGCGUGAGUGAUGAAGGUCUUCGGAUCGUAAAACUCUGUUAUUAGGGAAGAACAUAUGUGUAAGUAACUGUGCACAUCUUGACGGUACCUAAUCAGAAAGCCACGGCUAACUACGUG
rnacentral:rRNA from 1 species